rnacentral:rRNA from 1 species
AACAGGGAUUGCCCUAGUAACGGCGAGUGAAGCGGCAACAGCUCAGAUUUGAAAUCUGGCCCUUUAGGGUCCGAGUUGUAAUCUGUAGAGGAUGCUUUUGGCGAGGUGCCUUCUAAGUCCCCCUAGAACGGGGCGCCCAUAGAGGGUGAGAGCCCCGUACAGUUGGACACCGAACCCUUUGUAAAGCUCCUUCGACGAGUCGAGUAGUUUGGGAAUGCUGCUCAAAAUGGGAGGUAUAUUUCUUCUAAAGGCUAAAUACCGGCCAGAGACCGAUAGCGCACAAGUAGAGUGAUCGAAAGAUGAAAAGCACUUUGAAAAGAGGGUUAAAUAGCACGUGAAAUUGUUGAAAGGGAAGCGCUUGUGACCAGACUUGCGCCCGGUGAAUCAUCCAGCGUUCUCGCUGGUGCACUUUGCCGGGCUCAGGCCAGCAUCGGUUCUUCCAGGGGGAUAAAGGUCUCGGGAACGUAGCUCUCUUCGGGGAGUGUUAUAGCCCGUGGCAUAAUACCUUUGGGGGGACCGAGGACCGCGCUCUGCAAGGAUGCUGGCGUAAUGGUCAUCAGCGACCCGUCUUGAAACACGGACCAAGGAGUCAAGCAUUAGGGCGAGUCUUUGGGUGUAAAACCCGCAGGCGCAAUGAAAGUGAACGGAGGUGAGAGCUUCGGCGCAUCAUCGACCGAUCCUGAUGUUCUCGGAUGGAUUUGAGUAAGAGCCUUACCGCUUGGACCCGAAAGAUGGUGAACUAUGCCUGAAUAGGGUGAAGCCAGAGGAAACUCUGGUGGAGGCUCGCAGCGGUUCUGACGUGCAAAUCGAUCGUCAAAUUUGGGCAUGGGGGCGAAAGACUAAUC